rnacentral:ncRNA from 1 species
AGAACUCUGGAGAAUCCCGUUCUGAGCGGGUGCCGAAGGUGCAAAGUGACUGCCACUAAUCUCUCAGGCGAAAGGACAGAGAAA